rnacentral:rRNA from 1 species
UACGAAGGGUGCUAGCGUUGUUCGGAAUCAUUGGGCGUAAAGGGUGCGUAGGCGGUUUGGUAAGUCAAUUGUGAAAGCCCCGAGCUUAACUCGGGAACUGCAAUCGAAACUGCCUAACUAGAGCUUGGUGGGGGAUAGUGGAAUUCCUAGUGUAGGGGUGAAAUCCGUAGAGAUUAGGAAGAACACCAGUGGCGAAGGCGACUAUCUACACCAACACUGACGCUAAGGCACGAAAGCGUGGGGAGCAAACAGG